AACAGACUCUCAGGGACUGCAGAUAUUGAAAACAGCAGGGAAAGUCUCAGCACAGGGACUCCUCACUGAGUGCGCAGAGGCAGAGUUCCAGCUCGGAAGUUUUGGCAUGGACUGGAGAGUAAAAAAUUGACAGCAGAUUUGAAAAACAAGGGAAGAGAAUAUCUAGGAGUUCAACGGAUCAUCUUGGAAGAGAUUAGGAGAAGGGCAGAAGUCCUCAUUAGAGGAAAGACCUUUCAGAAGAAACCAGGAGCUCUGCCCACUGUGAGUGGCACACUUCCCGCCUGGGAUCCCGUACUGUAUAAACCAAGAGAAGGUAUGCGGCAGACCCAUGCAUCCCUCAUCUGCUGCCUCAUGACUCAGACAGGACAUGACCAGUUGCUUCACGUCCCUCUUGCUGUGAAUUCCCUGCCAUGAUGUCCUGUAUCCUUGAGUAAACCUUCCAUUGCUUC
ensembl:antisense E130111B04Rik RIKEN cDNA E130111B04 gene